CCCGGCCAGAUCUGCCCAGUGACUCAUUCAACGGCCGCAGUAUUUUAACUGUGCUAAGGUAGCAUAAUCAUUUGCUUUUUAAUUGAAAGCUCGUAUGAACGAUUCGACGAGAAGUUAACUCUCUCUAACCUUCAAAUAACUUACUCGGGCGGUAAAAAAGCCCCCUCUCUCCGAUAGGACGACAAGACCCUACAAAACUUUACCCGAUACUCGCAAUUAUAAUUCCAAACGACAAUCGAGUUUUGCUGGGGCGGCAAGUUUUAAUUAGCAACAAACCUUUUUACAACACCUUGAGUGACGUUUACUAACCCUUUUACAGAAUAAAAUAAGUUACUUUAGGGAUAACAGCGCUAUGUUCCUCUAGAGCCCUUAUCGACAGGAACGCUUACGACCUCGAUGUUGAAUUGAAGCGCCUACUUGGGGCAGCCCCCAAAAAAGGGAGUCUGUUCGACU
rnacentral:rRNA from 1 species